rnacentral:rRNA from 1 species
GGAUUAGGCAUGCUAGUCUAACGGGAAACCCUUCGGGGUUUCUAGUGGCGAAAGGGUGAGUAACACGUGAGCAACCUGCCCCCAAGUCCGGAAUAAGCGGUGGAAACGCCGUCUAAUGCCGGAUGCCGAAUGGCCCCCGCCUGGUGGCUUUUCGAAAGAUUUAUCGCUUGGGGAUGGGCUCGCGCCCCAUUAGCUGGUUGGCGGGGUAAUGGCCCACCAAGGCUACGACGGGUAGGUGGACUGAGAGGUCGGUCACCCACACUGGGACUGGGACACUGCCCAGACUCCUACGGGAGGCUGCAGUCGAGAAUCUUCCGCAAUGGGCGAAAGCCUGACGGAGCAAUGCCGCGUGAGGGAAGAAUGCCUUCGGGUUGUAAACCUCUGUCACCCGGGACGAAAUUUGACGGUACCGGGAGAGGAAGUCACGGCUAACUACGUGCCAGCAGCCGCGGUAACACGUAGGUGGCAAGCGUUAUUCGGAUUUACUGGGCGUAAAGGGUCCGCAGGGGGCCUGACAAGUCUGUCGUGAAAGGCCAAGGCUCAACCUUGGCACUGCGGUGGAAACAGUCGGGCUAGAGUCAGUGAGGGGCAGACGGAACACCUGGUGUAGCGGUGGAAUGCGUAGAUAUCAGGUGGAACACCUAUGGCGAAGGCGGUCUGCUGGCACAUGACUGACCCUCAGGGACGAAAGCGUGGGUAGCAAACAGGAUUAGAUACCCUGGUAGUCCACGCCGUAAACUUUGUGAACUAGAUGUGCCCGGGGCUGGCCCCGGGCGUGUCCAAGCUAACGCGAUAAGUUCACCGCCUGGGGACUACGGCCGCAAGGCUAAAACUCAAAGGAAUUGACGG